UAGAGUUUGAUCCCUGGCUCAGGACGAACGCUGGCGGCGUGCCUAAUACAUGCAAGUCGAACGCUUCUUUUCUACCGAGUGCUUGCACUCAUUUGAAAAGAGGAGUGGCGGACGGGUGAGUAACACGUGGGUAACCUACCCAUCAGAGGGGGAUAACACUUGGAAACAGGUGCUAAUACCGCAUAAUAGUCGACACCGCAUGGUGUUGAUUUGAAAGACGCUUUCGGGUGUCACUGAUGGAUGGANCCCGCGGUGCAUUAGCUAGUUGGUGAGGUAACGGCUCANCCAAGGNCCAUGAUGCAUAGCCGANCCCUGAGAGGGUGAUUCGGCCACA
rnacentral:rRNA from 1 species